UACGAAGGGGGCUAGCGUUGCUCGGAAUCACUGGGCGUAAAGAGUGUGUAGGCGGUGCUCCCAGUCUGUUGUGAAAUCUCCCGGCUUAACUGGGAGGGUGCAGCGGAAACUAGAGUGCUAGGAGGGUGGGAGAGGUAAGCGGAAUUCCUGGUGUAGCGGUGAAAUGCGUAGAUAUCAGGAGGAACACCUGUGGUGUAGACAGCUUACUGGACCACUUCUGACGCUGAGACACGAAAGCGUGGGUAGCAAACAGG
rnacentral:rRNA from 1 species